UGACGACCAUAGAACAUUGGAACCACCUGAUCCCAUCCCGAACUCAGCAGUGAAACGAUGUAUCGCCGAUGGUAGUGUGGGGUUUCCCCAU
rnacentral:rRNA from 1 species